rnacentral:rRNA from 1 species
AACGAACGCUGGCGGCAUGCCUAACACAUGCAAGUCGAACGAGAUCUUCGGGUCUAGUGGCGCACGGGUGCGUAACGCGUGGGAAUCUGCCCUUUGGUUCGGAAUAACAGUUGGAAACGACUGCUAAUACCGGAUGAUGACGAAAGUCCAAAGAUUUAUCGCCAGAGGAUGAGCCCGCGUAGGAUUAGCUAGUUGGUGUGGUAAAGGCGCACCAAGGCGACGAUCCUUAGCUGGUCUGAGAGGAUGAUCAGCCACACUGGGACUGAGACACGGCCCAGACUCCUACGGGAGGCAGCAGUGGGGAAUAUUGGACGAUGGGCGAAAGCCUGAUCCAGCAAUGCCGCGUGAGUGAUGAAGGCCUUAGGGCUGUAAAGCUCUUUUACCCGGGAUGAUAAUGACAGUACCGGGAGAAUAAGCUCCGGCUAACUCCGUGCCAGCAGCCGCAGUAACAC